rnacentral:rRNA from 1 species
UACAGAGGGGGCAAGCGUUGUUCGGAAUUACUGGGCGUAAAGGGCGCGUAGGCGGCCUGCUAAGUCGAACGUGAAAUCCCCGGGCUCAACCCGGGAACUGCGUCCGAUACUGGCGGGCUUGAAUCCGGGAGAGGGAUGUGGAAUUCCAGGUGUAGCGGUGAAAUGCGUAGAUAUCUGGAGGAACACCGGUGGCGAAAGCGGCUUCCUGGCCCGACAUUGACGCUCAUGUACGAAAGCGUGGGGAGCAAACAGG